rnacentral:lncRNA from 1 species
CUCCAGGAACUCUACAUACAAUAUUUUGUUUAAUCCUCACCAGAACCUUUGAACAAUUAGUGGCUCCAUCUAACAGAAAACAAAACGCCUCGGGGGAACAGGUAGAAUAAAGAGAUCCAGACCCAAAGGACUCCAGAGUCCUUCCUGCUAUGCCCUGCUGAAGUAUACAGGAUGGAAUUGACAUAACUGGUCAAAAUUUUCUUGCCAAUUAAAUCAUAUUCUUCCUAUAUCCAAACAUAAAAAAAUUGACAGCUAACAUUUAAAACAAAAAUUAAGUAAAAGGAAUGUCUUUCUUCAAACAACAUUCCCCUUGAAGACCAGUAUUAACAAUCAGAACUUGCACAGGAUUUUAUUGUUCAUAAAUUCCAUGUCCUAUGCACGAUAUAAGCAUUUUUUUUUUUGAGAUGGAGUCUAACUCCGUCACUCAGGCUGGAGUGCAGUGGCACGAUCUCAGCUCACUACAACCUCCUCCUCCCGGGUUCAAGCAAUUCUCCUGCCUCUCGAGUAGCUGGGACUACAGGUGCCCGCCACCACAAGUGGCUAAUUUUUGUAGUUUUAGUAGAGACAGGGUUUUGCCAUGUUGGCCACGCUGGUCUCAAACUCCUGGCCUCAAGUGAUCCCUCUGCCUCGGGCUCUAAAAGUGCUGGGAUUACAGGCAUGAGCCACCACACCAGGCUGAUAUAAGCACUUUUAAUUACAAAAAAAAGUACAGCAGGCACUUGACAGGGAAUGUAGAGGAGUUAUUUUAAAAUUCCAUUAACAUUAGUAACACUGAAACAUGCAGUAUCAAUUCUGCUGACUCAUUCCUCUUUAAAAAUUAAUAGCCUAGAAUAAGUUUAGAUAGGUAAUGUCUGAGACAAUAUGAAGAAAGAUGCUACACCUGAGGCAUUGCUGAUUUAAUACCUUUAAGUAAAAUUUAAAAGAUAAAUGGAUAAAAUGAUUCUUUUAGAAACAAAAUGCCACUAAACAUGAAAUCAUGAACUUGCCAAUCAAGUUCAUUUAUUCAAGAUUCUUCCUCAUUCCAAGAAGGAUUUGAGCUUUGCUCAAUGCUGCAUAACCCUUUAGGCACUAUUUUAAAAAGAAAAAAACAAAACACACAAAAUUCUUACUGGAAGCAAUGGUUGGUUGCAAGGAAGAAUUCUUUCCCUCUCUUAGACCACAACUAAAGGGGAAGGAAGAAGGAAUCUGAGUCCCUGGCACAGCAAUCGAGAGUGUGCCCUGGGGCAGGCCCCACCAGCAUAGGUGGGGGCCAACGCGCCGUUCCCCGGAGCACACCUAAGUGAGAGGGUCACCCAUUUACUGGCCAUCUGAAAACACCAACGUUCCUACACCACUUGGCUAGUUCUACGUUAAGCCUAUAAAAUGAACAACAUCUAAGCGGGUAGCUUUGUUUCCUUGUGUAAAAUCAACACAGUCUCAAAAAUGGAACAGAUAAGGCAAAAAGGACCAGAGAACCUCGGUUCUACAAGAACAUGAGACGCCUCUUCUUUAUCAGUUACAUCACAAUAGAAAUCGGAAACUCUGGUUUCUAGAAGCCUUUAGGCAAGCAACACACCCUUACUUGGAAGCACUCAGCAUACUACAGGUUUACUUAAACAGAUGUGGCCUGCGUUCAAAUAAUUCAGUCUGGAGAAAUACUAAAAACGUUAAAUAUUUAAAAUGUUUUAUAUUGUUCUCUCUGAAUAUGAAUUAAAGUCAGCGCAAAUGGUCAGAAAGACUUGCAGAAAGUUAAAACUGCCCAGAAAAUUUUGGUUCACACACAGCACAACAAAAGGGAGUCCAAGGUUCUAACACACACAGAACACCUUCCUGGAGCAGCCAGGACUUGGGGACUGCUGAGAAAGGUGAGGCGCGCGACAAACCCAAACCGCCGAGAAGGGUGAGGCGCGUGACAAACCCAAACCGUUGAGAAGGGUGAGGCGCGCGACAAACCCAAACCGUCGAGAAGGGUGAGGCGCGCGACAAACCCAAACCACGGAGAAGGGUGAGGCGCGCGACAAACCCAAACUGUUGAGAAGGGUGAGGCGCGCGACAAACCCAAACCGCCGAGAAGGGUGAGGCGCGCGACAAACCCAAACCGUCGAGAAGGGUGAGGCGCGCGACAAACCCAAACCGUCGAGAAGGGUGAGGCGCGCGACAAACCCAAACCGCCGAGAAGGGUGAGGCGCGCGACAAACCCAAACCGCCGAGAAGGGUGAGGCGCGCGACAAACCCAAACCGCCGAGAAGGGUGAGGCGCGCGACAAACCCAAACCGUCGA